UACGAAGGGGGCUAGCGUUGCUCGGAAUGACUGGGCGUAAAGGGCGCGUAGGCGGCGCAUUUAGUCAGGCGUGAAAUCCCUCGGCUUAACCGGGGAACUGCGUCCGAUACUGGAGGGCUUGAGUGUGGGAGAGGGAUGCGGAAUUCCAGGUGUAGCGGUGAAAUGCGUAGAUAUCUGGAGGAACACCGGUGGCGAAAGCGACUCACUGGACCGACACUGACGCUGAGGUGCGAAAGCUAGGGUAGCAAACGGG
rnacentral:rRNA from 1 species